rnacentral:lncRNA from 1 species
GACUACAGAGGACUCCAAAUAAGAAUGAAAGUAAUUAUGUGUAAGUUUAUUUAGAAAAGUUCUGGUGGAUCAAAGAUAGAGGAAUGAUAUGGUUUUAACUGGUUUCCAUCUUAUAAACGAAGUACAUUAUAUGAUUUAAAUUGAUGGUUUAUAGUUACAAUUAUUCAAAUUCUGUAUCUCAAUGAUAUCCUGGCUUAUCGAUACGAUAUCCUGUUAAUUGGAUUUUUAUAUAUUGCAUAAAUAUAUAUGCAAACACUCA